CCGGCUUCGGGCGUGUGCGGGCGCGCACGUGACUGCGCCGCUUCGUACUUGUGCGUGUGCACACGUGCACGCACGCACGCGACUGGGCCGGCUGCCGCUUCGUACACGGACACGCGCGCGCACGACGGGAAUCCCCCUUCGUAGGUGGGCAGAAGCACAGACGACUGGACCCCCCCCCCUUCAUACAUGUACACAUGCACAUGACAGGAAUCCCCUUUUGUACACAGACAGGCACACAGACUGGCUUCCGCACGAGUGCGCACGUGCACACAUGCACGCACGAUUGGAGUCUUCCUUCAGGAAGCCAAGACUUCGUCCCAACGGGGUGAGGACUGGGACCGGGCACCACUAGGUGGUCUAGGACCACCAAACCCUGCUUAUCCUCAGAGACGGGCUGCUGGGGAACCUCUCCCGGUACCCACGCGCACAGCCUCACUGGGAUGCCCUGCUGGGCUCAGAACAGAAGAGUCUCCAGGGCUGUGAAACAGGAAGAGAAGCAGGAGCAGACAGCAAAGCUGCCCAAAGAAAGUUUAGCUUGAUUAGUGGAACAUCCAGACUAUUAAAAAGAAGAGAUGUUCGUUAACAUCUCUGGAGUUGGAAGAACAAUGAACCGUUAAGUGAGCUGACUCCUUCAGCUGCCCGAAUAGUAAUGUCACAGCUGCUGCAUGGUGGAGCAGGAAUCAAAGCAGGGUGCUUCUAUCCUGGGCAGGAAGUCAGCUUCCCUGCUUAAUACGUGCGGCCCAUUUUUUUGGGAGGGAGGUUUAUUCUGGGGGGAAACGUGGAUGUUGUAGGUGAGAAAAUACAGUAGUAGAUUAUUCUUAUCAAAAGUACCCUCUGACUUCAACAUCCACACACUUAAAUGCUUAGGUGCCAGUAUCCUGUCCCCACACCCCCAACCCCAUGUGCAGUCAGGGCAAGUCAGGGGUCUUAGAGUGGUGACCCCAAACAGGCAUCACGCUAAGCACUAAGCAGGGAGCUAUGUAGAGCUAGCCAGUAAGGAUUGCCAGGUCCACUUCCCUAUCUUCACAGUUUACACACUUUCACUACUUAAUAUACAGAGCCCAGAGUCCUCUCCUGAUGGGAGGCGCCUAUAGUUCCUCUUGCAAAGGGCUGAGCAGGACUCACAGAUUUUGUUUAAGGCAGGAGACCUGGGCUAUAGGUCUUCUACAGUCAAAGGGGAUUGAAACAUGUAUGUGUUCUCAGGUGGUUUGUUACAUGGCCUUUCAAGGGAACAAAAAUACUUCCCUUGGCUGCAAGAGGCAGUGGAGUAAUCCAUAAUGCCACUCAGCGUAGCCUGCCCCAGCUGGCUGGGGCAUGAGGGUGCUUCAGUGCAGGGUGCCAGCCCCUUCACAGCACAGAGCCGGGGGAGCAGCCCCAGGCUGGCAGGCUGACCCCUGGGGCCCCAGCUAGAUGGGGCUGCUCUGACCUGUCUCAACAUGCUGCGGUCCUUGAGCUCAUGGAGCCAGGGACGCCUGAUCUAUUCCUUGAGCUAAUCCACAACCCAGGAUCUUCCUUUGUCAACAAAAUUCACAGUGGACACAAAGCUGCACUUGGGCAGAACAGAAACUACUGUCAACUCUUAGUCCAGGAACCUGCUUACUCAAUAAGCCUUUUAGACCCCUCCACUCCAGGGUAGUUUAAGUUGUGACUACAGAGUCAAGUUGUACUAGUGUAAGCCUUGCACAAGGCUCCAGGAUAGGGUUAAAUCUAUACCAACACUUUUCUCAAGUAACUUAAGUACAACAACAACAAAAGCCUUUAUAUGCAUCUCUGGAAGGGAUUGUAGUUAAUAUAACCAUAUUGAUUUAGACUUACAUUUUGUGUUCUAUUGAAAUAAAUCUCUCUCUUUCUCUGGCAGAGAAGGCCUCAAGGUUUUAGUAAUUCUUCCACUUUGUUUAUAUCUACCAUACGACAAGAAUACACCAUAUCAGAGUAAUUAAAAGUAUACAUCCUCCAAGAGGCUUAAAUUAAAACUAUCCAAAAUUUACUAAAAUGUCAGCUGAUUUAAGAGGGGUUUAAAACUUUCUAGAGACUAAAA